UGAAAAACACACAAUAAUAAUAAUAGUGUUAUGAAAAAAAAACCAUGUAUUUUGCACGUCAUAUUUUAUGAACACCUAGAUAACGUGCCGUUAUUUAUGUGUGUAUAUGUGUGUGUGUGUGUGUGUGUGUGUGUGCGUGUGUGCGAAAUCUGUCUAA